rnacentral:misc_RNA from 1 species
GAAAUUUGCAUUAGUUUUGCCGCCUGAAAAGUACCAAUUCGCUUUUUAAAUGUGUGAAUUCAUACUCUGUGUUUACAAGUUUACGGCACGAGCAGUGCGAAGCACACGGUGUUGUGGAAGCCCUUUGACGGUCAAAACAAUAAGUUGUCUUUGAGAGCUCGAGUGAUUGGCCGAGUGCAGCCCUAAGGUGUGAAAAUUUCCUGGCUCUGGACGACACACUAGGCACGUCCAGACUAUAUUUUGGCGCUUCUACGACAUUUUGCCAAAGAUUUCACACGUUCCUGAACUCUUCCCUCUUGAUAAAGCUCAAAUACGAUUUACGCGGCAAGAAGAUCUUUACGUGACUCAUGGAAAACUGAGCAAGCUAAAAAGAAGGACCUGUUGUAGCUAAAAGGAUCUUUUAUACUGAAGCCACAAGAUGAACAAAAUUUGGCGCCCUUGGGUAGAGAGUCCCCAGGACUGCCAGAGAAAACGCCGACCACGAUACACGCCCUAUGGACAGCCGAGUACAACAGGAAAUAUACAGCAACAACCACAAUUUAAACAUCCAGUCAGGUAAUUUUAGUACACAAGAAUCAGUAAAACUUGGAGACGUUAUCUGUCGUUAUUGAAACG